GAUGAACGCUGGCGGCGUGCCUAAUACAUGCAAGUCGAGCGAACGGACGAGAAGCUUGCUUCUCUGAUGUUAGCGGCGGACGGGUGAGUAACACGUGGAUAACCUACCUAUAAGACUGGGAUAACUUCGGGAAACCGGAGCUAAUACCGGAUAAUAUUUUGAACCGCAUGGUUCAAAAGUGAAAGACGGUCUUGCUGUCACUUAUAGAUGGAUCCGCGCUGCAUUAGCUAGUUGGUAAGGUAACGGCUUACCAAGGCAACGAUGCAUAGCCGACCUGAGAGGGUGAUCGGCCACGCUGGAACUGAGACACGGUCCAGACUCCUACGGGAGGCAGCAGUAGGGAAUCUUCCGCAAUGGGCGAAAGCCUGACGGAGCAACGCCGCGUGAGUGAUGAAGGUCUUCGGAUCGUAAAACUCUGUUAUUAGGGAAGAACAUAUGUGUAAGUAACUGUGCACAUCUUGACGGUACCUAAUCAGAAAGCCACGGCUAACUACGUGCCAGCAGCCGCGGUAAUACGUANGUGGCAAGCGUUAUCCGGAAUUAUUGGGCGUAAAGCGCGCGUAGCGGUUUUUAAGUCUGAUGUGAAAGCCCACGGCUCAACCGUGGAGGGUCAUUGGAAACUGGAAAACUUGAGUGCAGAAGAGGAAAGCGGAAUUCCAUGUGUAGCGGUGAAAUGCGCAGAGAUAUGGAGGAACACCAGUGGCGAAGGCGACUUUCUGGUCUGUAACUGACGCUGAUGUGCGAAAGCGUGGGGAUCAAACAGGAUUAGAUACCCUGGUAGUCCACGCCGUAAACGAUGAGUGCUAAGUGUUAGGGGGUUUCCGCCCCUUAGUGCUGCAGCUAACGCAUUAAGCACUCCGCCUGGGGAGUACGACCGCAAGGUUGAAACUCAAAGGAAUUGACGGGGACCCGCACAAGCGGUGGAGCAUGUGGUUUAACUCGAAGCAACGCGAAGAACCUUACCAAAUCUUGACAUCCUUUGACAACUCUAGAGAUAGAGCCUUCCCCUUCGGGGGGGCAAAGUGACAGGUGGUGCAUGGUUGUCGUCAGCUCGUGUCGUGAGAUGUUGGGUUAAGUCCCGCAACGAGCGCAACCCUUAAGCUUAGUUGCCAUCAUUAAGUUGGGCACUCUAAGUUGACUGCCGGUGACAAACCGGAGGAAGGUGGGGAUGACGUCAAAUCAUCAUGCCCCUUAUGAUUUGGGCUACACACGUGCUACAAUGGACAAUACAAAGGGCAGCGAAACCGCGAGGUCAAGCAAAUCCCAUAAAGUUGUUCUCAGUUCGGAUUGUAGUCUGCAACUCGACUACAUGAAGCUGGAAUCGCUAGUAAUCGUAGAUCAGCAUGCUACGGUGAAUACGUUCCCGGGUCU
rnacentral:rRNA from 1 species